rnacentral:rRNA from 1 species
UACAGAGGUCUCAAGCGUUGUUCGGAUUCAUUGGGCGUAAAGGGUGCGUAGGCGGCCCUGUAAGUCAGUGGUGAAAUACUGCAGCUUAACUGUAGCAUUGCCAUUGAUACUGCAGGGCUUGAGUACAGAUGAGGUAGGCGGAAUUGAUGGUGUAGCGGUGAAAUGCAUAGAUACCAUCAAGAACACCGAUUGCGAAGGCAGCUUACUAAGCUGUAACUGACGCUGAGGCACGAAAGCGUGGGGAUCGAACAGG